CCUACGGGUGGCAGCAGUGCGGAAUAUUGGUCAAUGGGCGUAAGCCUGAACCAGCCAAGUCGCGUGAGGGAUGAAGGUUCUAUGGAUCGUAAACCUCUUUUAUAAGGGAAUAAAGUGCGGGACGUGUCCCGUUUUGUAUCUACCUUAUGAAUAAGGAUCGGCUAACUCCGUGCCAGCAGCCGCGGUAAUACGGAGGAUCCGAGCGUUAUCCGGCUUUUUUGUGUUUAAAGGGUGCGUAGGCGGCAUUUUAAGUCAGCGGGGAAAGUCUGUGGCUCAACCAUAGAAUUGCCGUUGAAACUGGGAGGCUUGAGUAUGUUUGAGGCAGGCGGAAUGCGUGGUGUAGCGGUGAAAUGCGUAGAUAUUACGCAGAACCCAGAUGGCGAAGGCAGCCUGCCAAGCCAUGACUGACGCUGAUGCACGAAAGCGUGGGGAGCAAACAGGAUUAGAUACCCUUGUAGUC
rnacentral:rRNA from 1 species